rnacentral:rRNA from 1 species
UACGGGGGGGGCGAGCGUUGUUCGGAAUUAUUGGGCGUAAAGGGAGCGUAGGCGGUGCGGUAAGACUGGUGUGAAACCUUCAGGCUUAACUUGGAGCUGGCAUCAGUGACUGCCGUGCUAGAGUGCGGGAGAGGAUAGUGGAAUUCCCGGUGUAGCGGUGAAAUGCGUAGAUAUCGGGAGGAACAUCGGUGGCGAAGGCGGCUAUCUGGACCGCAACUGACGCUGAGGCUCGAAAGCUAGGGGAGCAAACAGG